AGCGAACGCUGGCGGCAGGCUUAACACAUGCAAGUCGAGCGCCCGUAGCAAUACGGGAGCGGCAGACGGGAGAGUAACACGUGGGAACAUGCCCUUCGGUUCGGAAUAACUCAGGGAAACUUGAGCUAAUACCGGAUACGUCCGUAAGGAGAAAGAUUUAUCGCCGAAGGAUUGGCCCGCGUCCGAUUAGCUUGUUGGUGAGGUAAUGGCUCACCAAGGCGACGAUCGGUAGCUGGUCUGAGAGGAUGAUCAGCCUCACUGGGACUGAGACACGGCCCAGACUCCUACGGGAGGCAGCAGUGGGGAAUAUUGGACAAUGGGCGAAAGCCUGAUCCAGCCAUGCCGCGUGGGUGAUGAAGGCCUUAGGGUUGU
rnacentral:rRNA from 1 species